rnacentral:rRNA from 1 species
AUGAACGCUGGCGGCGUGCUUAACACAUGCAAGUCGAACGGGAAUUAUUUUAUUGAAACUUCGGUCGAUUUACUUUAAUUCUAGUGGCGGACGGGUGAGUAACGCGUGGGUAACCUGCCUUAUACAGGGGGAUAACAGUCAGAAAUGGCUGCUAAUACCGCAUAAGCGCACAGAGCUGCAUGGCUCAGUGUGAAAAACUCCGGUGGUAUAAGAUGGACCCGCGUUGGAUUAGCUGGUUGGUGGGGUAACGGCCCACCAAGGCGACGAUCCAUAGCCGGCCUGAGAGGGUGAACGGCCACAUUGGGACUGAGACACGGCCCAGACUCCUACGGGAGGCAGCAGUGGGGAAUAUUGCACAAUGGGGGAAACCCUGAUGCAGCGACGCCGCGUGAAGGAAGAAGUAUCUCGGUAUGUAAACUUCUAUCAGCAGGGAAGAUAGUGACGGUACCUGACUAAGAAGCCCCGGCUAACUACGUG